AUGCAUCUGUGCACAUUUGUGUUUAUGUUCCUUUUCUGGAUGUAGAAGGCAAUAUGUAACAGAGGAUUUUCUUGUUUUCUCUUUAGACAGCUACUAUUUGGUCCUACACUACAUAAUAUGAAUAAAGAUCAUACACUGAACUGUAGCGCUUACAUCAGAAAUGCCUUUUUCUCUGAGUUAGGCAUUGGGAUCUCAGCCAACAGCUGCCUUCUCCUCUUCCACACCUUCAUGUUCAUUCGUGGGCACAGGCCAAGACUCACUGACUUACCCAUUGGACUAAUGGCCCUCAUACACCUAGUGAUGCUGUUACUUGCAGCAUAUAUAACUGAAGACUUUUUUGGGUCUUCAGGACGAUGGGAUGACAUCACCUGUAAACUACUCAUUUUCUUUCACAGGUUUUUCAGGAGCCUUUCUGUUUGUGCCACCUGUCUUUUAAGUGUCUUCCAGGCCAUCAUCCUCUGCCCUCAAAGCUCUCACUUAGCUAAGUUCAAACACAAUUCCUCACAUCAGCUCUCGUGUUUCUUUAUUUUACUGAGUAUCUUCUACACAUCCAUCAGCAGCCAUAUUUUAAUAGCAGUUAUUGCCACACGAAAUCUCACCUCAGUUAAUCUUAUACAUAUCACGAAAUCUUGUUCUUUUAUACCCAUGAGAUCCUUAAUGCAGCACACCUUCUCCACACUGCUGGUUUUCAGGAAUGUCUUUCUUAUUGGUCUCAUGAGCCUCUCAACUUUCUACAUGGCUACUCUCUUGUACAGGCAUAAGACUCGGUGCCAGCAUCUUCAGAACUCAAACCUUUCUCCAAAAGCAACUCCAGAGCACAGAGCCCUCCAGUCCAUUCUAAUGCUUCUGAGCUUCUUCUUGGUGAUGUCAACUUUUGAUAGUAUCAUAUCCUACUCAAGAACUGUAUUCCAGGAAAAUCCAUCACUGUAUUGUGUCCAGAUCCUUGUAGCCCAUAGCUAUGCUGCGGUUAGUCCUCUGCUGGUUCUCAGUAAUGAAAGACGUGUAGCUAACCUGUUGAUAUCCAAGUAUGAGAGUAUAGUAAAAUUUGAAUUUUUGAGAUGGUACAUUUUCCUCCGAUGA